rnacentral:rRNA from 1 species
GACCCUUCGGGGAGCCUAUACAGGUGUUGCAUGGCUGUCGUCAGCUCGUGUCGUGAGAUGUUCGGUUAAGUCCGCUAACGAGCGCAACCCUCGUCGUAUGUUAUAUGUGUCAUACGAGACUGCCGGUAAAAAGCCGGAGGAAGGUGAGGAUGAUGUCAAGUCAGCAUGACCUUUAUAUCCAGGGCUACACACACGCUACAAUGGUCUGUACAAUGGGUAGCCAAGCGCGAGGCGGAGCCAAUCCUGAAAGCAGGCCUCAGUUCAGAUUGCAGUCUGCAACUCGACUGCAUGAAGCCGGAGUUGCUAGUAACCGCAGGUCAGCAAUACUGCGGUGAAUACGUUCCCGGGUCUU